rnacentral:rRNA from 1 species
UACGGGGGGGGCAAGCGUUGUUCGGAAUUACUGGGCGUAAAGGGCGCGUAGGCGGCCUGCUAAGUCGGAUGUGAAAUCCCUCGGCUCAACCGAGGAACUGCAUCCGAUACUGGCGGGCUUGAAUCCGGGAGAGGGAUGUGGAAUUCCAGGUGUAGCGGUGAAAUGCGUAGAUAUCGGGAGGAACACCAGUGGCGAAGGCGGCUUCCUGGCCUGUUCUUGACGCUGAGGCGCGAAAGCUAGGGGAGCAAACGGG